GACAGAGGGUGCAAACGUUGUUCGGAAUUACUGGGCGUAAAGCGCAUGUAGGCGGCAACGCAAGUCGGGCGUGAAAUCCCACGGCUCAACCGUGGAAGUGCACUCGAAACUGCGUAGCUAGAGUCCUGGAGAGGAAGGUGGAAUGCUUGGUGUAGAGGUGAAAUUCGUAGAUAUCAAGCGGAACACCGGUGGCGAAGGCGGCCUUCUGGACAGUGACUGACGCUGAGGAGCGAAAGCGUGGGGAGCGAACAGG
rnacentral:rRNA from 1 species